CCUACGGGUGGCAGCAGUGGGGAAUAUUGGACAAUGGGCGAAAGCCUGAUCCAGCCAUGCCGCGUGUGUGAAGAAGGCCUUCGGGUUGUAAACCACUUUCAGUGGGGAAGAAAGCCUUGGGGCUAAUACCCUCGAGGAAGGACAUCACCCACAGAAGAAGCACCGGCUAACUCCGUGCCAGCAGCCGCGGUAAUACGGAGGGUGCGAGCGUUAAUCGGAAUUACUGGGCGUAAAGCGCGCGUAGGCGGUCUGAUAAGCCGGUUGUGAAAGCCCCGGGCUCAACCUGGGAACGGCAUCCGGAACUGUCAGGCUAGAGUGCAGGAGAGGAAGGUAGAAUUCCCGGUGUAGCGGUGAAAUGCGUAGAGAUCGGGAGGAAUACCAGUGGCGAAGGCGGCCUUCUGGACUGACACUGACGCUGAGGUGCGAAAGCGUGGGUAGCAAACAGGAUUAGAUACCCUGGUAGUC
rnacentral:rRNA from 1 species